rnacentral:rRNA from 1 species
CCUACGGGAGGCAGCAGCUAAGAAUAUUGGGCAAUGGAGGAAACUCUGACCCAGCCAUGCCGCGUGAAUGAAGAAGGCCUUCGGGUUGUAAAGUUCUUUUAAUCGUGAAGAUGAUGACAGUAGCGAUAGAAAAAGCACCGGCUAACUUCGUGCCAGCAGCCGCGGUAAU